rnacentral:rRNA from 1 species
GAUGAACGCUGGCGGCGUGCCUAAUACAUGCAAGUCGAGCGAACGGACGAGAAGCUUGCUUCUCUGAUGUUAGCGGCGGACGGGUGAGUAACACGUGGAUAACCUACCUAUAAGACUGGGAUAUCUUCGGGAAACCGUAGCUAAUACCGGAUAAUAUUUUGAACCGCAUGGUUCAAAAGUGAAAGACGGUCUUGCUGUCACUUAUAGAUGGAUCCGCGCUGCAUUAGCUAGUUGGUAAGGUAACGGCUUACCAAGGCAACGAUGCAUAGCCGACCUGAGAGGGUGAUCGGCCACACUGGAACUGAGACACGGUCCAGACUCCUACGGGAGGCAGCAGUAGGGAAUCUUCCGCAAAGGGCGAAAGCCUGACGGAGCAACGCCGCGUGAGUGAUGAAGGUCUUCGGAUCGUAAAACUCUGUUAUUAGGGAAGAACAUAUGUGUAAGUAACUGUGCACAUCUUGACGGUACCUAAUCAGAAAGCCACGGCUAACUACGUG